UCACAGUUUCUUCAUUUAGUGUUGUCAGC
rnacentral:piRNA from 1 species